rnacentral:tRNA from 1 species
GCGCUUGUAGCUCAGUUGGAAUAGAGCGCUGCUCUCCGAAGGCAGAGGUCGUGGGUUUAAAUCCCUCCAAGCGCA